GACGAACGCUGGCGGCGUGCUUAACACAUGCAAGUCGAACGAUGAAGCCGGAGCUUGCUCUGGUGAAUUAGUGGCGAACGGGUGAGUAACACGUGAGUAACCUGCCCUUGACUCUGGGAUAACUGCGGGAAACUGUAGCUAAUACCGGAUACGACCCUCGGAGGCAUCUCCUGGGGGUGGAAAGAAUUUCGGUCAAGGAUGGACUCGCGGCCUAUCAGCUAGUUGGUGAGGUAAAGGCUCACCAAGGCGACGACGGGUAGCCGGCCUGAGAGGGUGGCCGGCCACACCGGGACUGAGACACGGCCCAGACUCCUACGGGAGGCAGCAGUGGGGAAUAUUGCACAAUGGGCGCAAGCCUGAUGCAGCAACGCCGCGUGAGGGAUGACGGCCUUCGGGUUGUAAACCUCUUUUAGCAGGGAAGAAGCGAAAGUGACGGUACCUGCAGAAAAAGCACCGGCUAACUACGUGCCAGCAGCCGCGGUAA
rnacentral:rRNA from 1 species